GGCGGGGGUGGCGCGCUGAGCCCGGCGCAGAAAGAUACGCCCAGGGUUUCAGAGUCGGUACGAAGCAAAGAGGGAAAAUAAAGUAAUCUCACGUUGAUUCCAUAGUGAAAUAAUAUUUGGGGUAUAUUGGAUCCAGUAAAAUAUAUUGCUGAAAUUAUUUUCUCGUUUUCUUUUACCUUUUUUUUGUUGUUGUUUUAACGUAGCCACCGGAAAGUGAAAUUGCUUGUGCUGCUAGCACUACCUUCCCUUGGCCGUAGACCAAGGAGUCUGGCAUUGCAGACUGGCACUGCGCCUGGGGAGCCCCUUAACAGGCCUCCGCCAGUUCUCUUGUGAAACACAAAUCUGAUUAUGCUCUCUGAUUAAAGUUUGCCUCGCUUGCCGAUAAUCAACAUUGCUUCUGCGCUUGCCAAGCGCAAGAUGCUGCACAAGGUGCUCUGUGUGCGUGCUCUCAGCCAUGCGCCAACCACCCCCGGGAAAGGCUGCCUCCUUCUGGAAGAGCAGAAUGGUUCCCUCCCUCUCGCCACACUGAGGCUUAGACGUGUCUUGGCGAUUGCCGGGCUGUUCGCAGCUGCUAGUCCCGGCCUGCAACAUUUAUCUGUUUCCACAGGUGGCUUGUGAGAUCCUGCGGGGUGGGGCCUGUGUCUUCUGCCUCUAGAAAUGUUUGUUGGGGGCGCCUGGGUGUCUCAGUUCUUUAAGCGUCCGGCUCUGGACUUCAGCUCAGGUCGUGAUCUCAUGGUUCAUGAGUUCAAGCCCCACAUGGGGCUCUGUGCUGACACCUUAGAGCCUGGAGCCUGCUUCGGAUCUGUGUCUCCCUCUAUCUCUGCCCCUCCCCUGCUCACCCUCUGUCUCUCUCAAUCAAAAAUAAAUAAGCGUUUAAAAAUUUUUAAUAAAAAAGAAAUGUUUGUUGGGUGAAUGACAACUGCGGGAACUCUCCAGGGAUCCCCUUUAGUCUCCACAGAAACUCUCCAGGAAUCUUCUCCCUGGGGCGAUCUCAAUGGAUCUUUGGUGAUCCCCUGAUGAUACAGCCUCAGUGGAUUCUCAGGACCCCUGUGCUGCAUAGCCUGAUGAACCCUCCUGAGAUCCUGUCCUUACACGACCUCGGAGAAUCUCCAGAGAUCUAAUAAAGUUUCAGUGGAUCCUCAGGGGCUCCUUCCUGACACGGCCUCAGGCAGUCUCAUGGGAUUCUCUCCUGGUGGAGCUCAGGAAGGCCCCAGGGAUUUCUCCCUGCUGUACAGCCCGGAGGCCUCAGAAAUGCCCCUAGGAGACUGGCUCCUAACAGUAUCAGGGGUCCCCUACAGACAUCACUGGAGACCUUAGGGGUUUUCAGCGGCUUUUCUGGCUUGUUGCAAGAGUCUGCAAGGUGACAGGGCAAAGAUGAUGGAAGUAGAAUUUACGUAGGAAAAAUGGGCAGUAGUUAGCAACUGGUUGGAUGCAAUUAUGACAUCUUAGAUCGGUUAUCCCUGUAGCUUGAGGAUGCUUUCCUGCCUCACAUCUCUUAGGAGAAGGAGCCAGACCAAUACCAAGGUUGAUGAAGGCUUCAAGACCCACUGAGCAAAAGCGCUAGCAGUGCCACGACAGGAACAGGAGAGCAAGAGGUCAGCCUGUUUGCAGCCUAGGUUUAUGACUGCUUGAGGAUGAACUGGGUUGAUGUCACAGAGGUAAGGCCUCAGCCUCAGCCAAGCAGUAGGUUAGAGGACAGAUCAGUCUCCAGACAAGGGGAUGGGAGGACCUGCCAGGGCAAAGUCACAAGAAUAGGUCAGCAUCAUGAGCAACGAGACAAGCUCCAGAAAUGGAUUUUUGGGCCAGAGGGCAUGUGAAAGGAGCGUCUGGUAGAAGGCCAGGUGUGUAAGCCAAAGUCUAGCCUAUGGAGGGUGUAGGAAUGGGGUCUCUGCAGGCAUCAAAGAGGACAGAUGCGUGAACACAGAAUGAAUGAGUGGAGCUUUUCGUACUCAUUUGUGCAACAAAUAAUUGCUGAGCAGCGAACACAAGAAGCUUACUUUCACUAAGAUUUAGGCUGAAAGAAAUUAAAACCAAGGACGUGACAUUUCACCCCGGACAGAUGGGCAAAAACUUAAAACCUGUCAGUGCCCAAAUUGGUGAGGACGUGGAUUUGUGAGCAGUGCGGAAUGAACUCUGAUUCGCUGCUGGUGGGAGUGGAAAUUGAUUCACUAACUCUCGACAGCUAUCCAGCAAUUUCUAGCGGCUAAGGACGCAUAUACCCUACAACCCAGCAAUUCCAAUCUUGGUGUGCACCCCAGAGCAGCUCGCCUAUGUGUGCAAAGACAGGAACGUUCAUUGUAACUGCUGGGGGGAGGGGGGAAUCAUAAAGUAAUCUAUAGGAGAAUUGAUAAAUGAUACAUAGUUACCCAAUAGGAUGCUAUAUGGUAAGAAAAUAACUAUAAACACAUCAACAUAAACGAAUUUCACAACAUUGAGUGAAAAAACGUUGAACGUGAAUGCAUGUGGUAUUUAACUCCAUCUUUUUAAACUAAAAGAAUGCUAAACACCAAAUUCAGGAGAGUGGUUUCCUCUGGGUAUUGGUGGGGACUUUAAUCAGUAAGGCAUUCAGGGGGCUUCAAUGCUAUUAUCACGCUUUAUUUCUUCUGGCAGAUGGAGUGUAUUCAGCUGUUAUAUUAUUUAUGACUCUCCGGAUGUCGACGAAAUGAUUGACAACACGUGAUGAUUACGGAGCCUCCACUGCUGUGUCCGUGAGCAGACUCUUGGAAAAGCCUGCAUUCGUGCAACAAUGAAUGAGCGGUGAGUGUUCACAGGGAGGCCUGGCGGGGUCAGGACAAUCGAUCAGAUCUGUGACUUCUGUUUAAGGUGAAGGGACAAAAUGCAAGGAGUGGUUCCAGGUCGAGGGAGCGUCACUGAUGCAGCAGGGACACAAGACAAGACCAGAGUGCUGGGUAACAGGCGAGGCUUCGGCGAGGCUCUAGGAGACACAGGUUGGGCUCCCUGAGAGACAGGCCCUUGCGUGCAGGCUGCUGCUUGGGGAGGAGAGGCUGACUGGCGAGGGGCCACCUGGCCCUACAGGGACGUCCUGAACUGAGACCAGAGGGUGGAGCCUUUGCACCGUGCACAAGCCAGUCUGCACGGGGCUGCGUCCAGGGAGGGGGUGGCCCGCAGCUGAGGGCAGCUCCCCGGGAGGGACUUCUCUGAGCCAUCGGCAGCCUAUACUCCCAGCCACGGAGGGAAUGAGAGCCCUCGUUCUGAGGGGCGAAUCUGGGCAGCACGCCGUAAUGCCGACCACGGUCCACCUUGGCGCCCCUCAGACCCGCCAGCCACAGGGGUCACCGUCGGAAGAGCGUCUCCAGGAUUCUGGCUGCUCCCUUUUGUGGAAAUUUACAAGAGGAAGGUUGAUGCAAUCUUGGGGCCACAGCAGCUGCUCACCCUGUGCCUCCACUUCCUGCCCCUCUGCCCUCAGCACUGUGGGUUCCCUCCACCGAGUAGCAUCUCUCCUGUUCUAGAUGAGCUACCUGGUGGACCGGCCCGGACUCUCAUCCUAGAGGCUUUAGAACCUCGGUCAACACACCCUUCUCAGGUCACGGCUGCUGUGCUUGUCCACACACCAUCAAAACUGGGCAGAGAGGCAGGCUCAGGUAGGUGCCAGAUGUGUUCUCCCCCCGCCCCGCCCCCGCCCCCACCCCCGGGCAGCAGCAUCCCUACCUCCUCCAGUGGCCACGAGGAGACCCCUUCCUUGACCUGCUAGUCUCCUGGCACAAGGAGCCUGACCCAGCAUUGAAUCAGACUCUUACCACAUCGCUUUCUGGAAGCAUUCGCCCUCUAGAAGAGGUCGGGAUUGUGAGAACCGGACAAUGUCUCCCCCGGAGACAGCAUUGGUGGGCAGACCCACUCCUGCCUCCACCCGCUGCUUCCCGCACCCAAGUCUAUACUUAGAGGAGACACAUGUCAGACGCCCCCACUCACAGGCUAUCAACUCUGAGCCGAAAGGCAGCUUCGUUGCUCCGCUGGGCCAGCAGCUUCUGGGCCGUGUGGUGUGUUAGGGGACCGGUGGGUCCCACGGCCACGGGCUCACCGCCCCCACCUCCUUCGCCGUAAGCGGGUCCCCAGCACCAGCACGAGGUUGCGCAGAGCCUCCUGUCGACAGGUCAGACGCCACACAGAGAGGACAUGUCCGUGAAUGGCUGUCCCCUACUGCCUCCACUCGCAUCCCCCGUGACGACCCUACAUGCAGGGGAGGCCAGGCAGUGUGGUCUGCCUGGGCGUCCGUUCCCACCUAUCCGAAGCUCUGUUUCCGAAUGAUGGUGGGAUGGAUAUUGGAGGACAGUGGCAGCGACUCCCAUCUUACAGAGCGCGCGAUCAGCUCCCAGCACUGAAAGCGACGAGUAAAGGUGGGCGGUGUGGGGGGGUGUCAGCCUCCGCCCCCGCAGUGUGGACGUGUGGCAUCCAUUGCUGCUGGAGGGAGGCUUCGGGGCCGAGUCAUGUCACUGCACACCCGUUUCACUGCUCAGGCUGUGCCGUCUGCCUCCUUUCUCUCCCACUCACCGGAGUGCCCCAAGGUCCAAGGCUUACCCUGGAUGAUGCCUUCGACCAAAAGUAAAGGGACCCUGGCCUAGCAGUGCUUUGAACGUUGCUUCCUGCCCACAAAAAGGCCAGCGGGGAGAGGCUGUUGUGAUGUUAUAGCGGCUGAGCCACUCAGGGAUGUAGGGGACACUGGGGUGCACGUCCAGGACCCAGGUACCCCGUCCCCACUGCCCUAGUGCUGGUGCUGCCCACGCCCAGCUGAGUGCUCCCUGGGGACCAUCCGUCCUCUGUCCAAGGAAGCUGCCUCACCCCUAGGACAUCCCACACGCGGUGACUGGCCGGUGUGAAGAGACAAAGACCUAGCCCUCUGUCCUCAGCUCAAGCCAUCCCUGAAGGGCUGUCCCGGCUCCAGGAUCUCCGGGCAGGAUGGACCAGAUGAGGCCACUGUGCCUGCAGGUGGCUCAAUUUCUGCUCAUCCAGUCCUGCCCUGCGUCCCUCCCUCCCUCACCAAUGUGGCUCCCAAGUACAUCGUCAGCAUAGCACUGUCCGUACUAGUCAGGGUUUUCCAGGGAAACAGAACCAAGGCGGGGGUGGGGCGUAAAUGGAAAUCUAUUAUGAGGGAUUGGCUUGCACAAUUAUGGAGGCCGAGAAGCACCACGACCCAGCGCCUGCAAGCCGGUCGGCCAGGAGCCCCAGUGGUGUAAUCCCAGUGUGCGGGCAGAGAAAGGGGACAUCAAUCCCAGCCCAGGCGGUGAGGCAGGAAAAAGCCUAACUCCUCCUCCUCCCUCCUCCCUCUUGUGCUCUUUUCAGGCCAUCCGAAGUUGCCUGAGGCCCACCCACGCUGGGAAGAGGGUCUGCUUUGCUGGGCCUGCCAAUUCAAAUUCAAAUUUCAUCUGGAAACACCAUCACAGAUAUACCCAGAAUGAUACUCAAUCUGGGCACCCCACGGCCAGUCAAACUGACACAAAAAAUUACCCAUCCCCCAGUAAGCCUCCUACAGGAGCAAUUCCUCAAAUCCACCAUCUCGGAUGAGACAAAUGUCCCCAAGCUCAGGCUUGCUGCCUCAUGGUCACAAGAUGGUGUCACAACUCCAUCUAUCAUGUGCUCCUGCCAGUGUCCCAGCCAGAAAGGGAGGGAAGG
rnacentral:lncRNA from 1 species